rnacentral:lncRNA from 1 species
AAUAUCAUUGUCAUGGAAAUUGUUUGAACAAGUUACUGUACCAACGUAGUUUGAGGAAAAGGGGAAGGGGUGUUAUGUUGUUUUUCUAUUUGUUAUAACAUUUCUAUCGCGAAAAAGUGGUUAUUUUUUUCAACAUUUAAUUUUAAUUGAUUCGAAUGAAAUUUUCAGAUAAUCAGGAUAUAAUUUUGUACCUUCCCCCACCAGACCCAAUUGUGAGGUACGUGAAUUUUAUUCGAUAGAAUAGAGGAAUACUUUACAAGUUGAU